ACGCUCGACACCUACGUGAGGCAGCAGUCGGGAAUAUUGCGCAAUGGAGGAAACUCUGACGCAGUGACGCCGCGUGCAGGAAGAAGGUUUUCGGAUUGUAAACUGCUUUAGACAGGGAAGAAAAAAGACAGUACCUGUAGAAUAAGCUCCGGCUAACUACGUGCUAGCACGCCGGACGGUAAUCUGAGGCGGCGUGGACGAAGGC
rnacentral:rRNA from 1 species